AGUAAAGAUAAUAAGGGCGUACGGUGGAUGCCUUGGCGAUAUCAGCCGAAGAAGGACGCGGUAAGCUGCGAUAAGCUACGGAGAGAUGCAAGCAAUCUUUGACCCGUAGAUUUCCGAAUGGGGGAACCCGGCAGUGGUUAUGCACUGUCACCCAUAGCAUAGACUAUGAGGAGGGCACCCGGGGAACUGAAACAUCUAAUUACCCGGAGGAACAGUAAUCAAACGAGAUUUUCUUAGUAGCGGCGAGCGAACGGGAAAGAGGCCAAACCGGAGCGGGCAACCGCACCGGGGUUGAGGACAGUCAUNNNNNNNGGGACUGUAUCCAGAGUACCACGAGACACGUGAAACCUUGUGGGAAGCAGGGGGGACCACCCUCCAAGCCAAAAUACUGAUAUCGACCGAUAGCGCAUAGUACCGUGAGGGAAAGGUGAAAAGAACCCCUGGCGGGGAGUGAAAGAGAACCUGAAACCGUAUGUCUACAAACAGUCGAAGUCUGUAUAUAUAUCAGGACGACGGCGUGCCUAUUGAAGAAUGAACCGACGAGUUACUGUUGCUAGCGAGGUUAAGUGGAAAACAUGGAGCCGCAGCGAAAGCGAGUCUGAACAGGGCGUUCAGUUAGUAAUAGUAGACCCGAAACCGUAGUGAUCUAUCCAUGGCCAGGUUGAAGCACAGGUAAAAUUGUGUGGAGGACCGAACUCGUGAGCGUUGAAAAGCUUUGGGAUGAGUUGUGGAUAGGGGUGAAAUGCCAAUCGAACACGGAGAUAGCUGGUUCUCCCCGAAAUAGCUUUAGGGCUAGCCUCGAGGUAGAGAGUAUAGGCGGUAGAGCACUGAUCGGGCUAGGGGCCAUACCGGUUACCGAACCUAGUCAAACUACGAAUGGCUAUACUUAUACUCGGGAGUCAGACAGUGAAUGAUAAGGUCCAUUGUCAAGAGGGAAACAGCCCAGAACACCGACUAAGGUCCCCAAUGUUACACUAAGUGGCGAAGGAUGUGGAAUUUCCAAAACAACCAGGAUGUUGGCUUAGAAGCAGCCACCAUUUAAAGAGUGCGUAAUAGCUCACUGGUCGAGAGACUCUGCGCCGAAAAUGUCCGGGGCUAAAGUGUAAAACCGAAGUCGUGUCAUAUGCAGCAAUGUAUAUGGGUAGGGGAGCGUUCUCAUCGGGCUGAAGCAGUACCGUAAGGAGUUGUGGACUGAUGAGAAGUGAGAAUGUCGGUAUGAGUAGCGAAAAGAAUGGUGAGAAUCCAUUCCACCGAAAGCCUAAGGGUUCCUGAGCAGGUGUGAAUCGUUUGAUCGAUGGAGUGACACAGUAAGGUAGGUCAGCACGCGAUUGGAAGAGCGUGUUUAAGCAGGUAGGUUGAGCUAUAGGCAAAUCCGUAGCUCUAAAAGCUGAGAUGUGAUGACGAGCGACUAGCAAUAGUCGCGAAGUGAUUGAUCCUACACUGUCGAGAAAAGCUUCUAGGUAGAGACACAUCGCCCGUACCAAAACCGACACAGGUAGGCGGGGAGAGAAUCCUAAGGUGCGCGGGAAAACCCUCGUUAAGGAACUCGGCAAAAUGCCUCCGUAACUUCGGGAAAAGGAGGACUCAUGUAGUGUGAAGAGCAGAAGCGCUUGGAGCAUGAAUGAGUGGCACAAGAGAGGCGCAAGCGACUGUUUACCACAAACACAGGUGCCUGCUAAAGCGAAAGCUGAUGUAUAGGUGCUGACACCUGCCCGGUGCUGGAAGGUUAAGAGGAGGGGUUAGACUUCGGUCGAAGCUCUGAAUUGAAGCCCCAGUAAACGGCGGCCGUAACUAUAACGGUCCUAAGGUAGCGAAAUUCCUUGUCGGGUAAGUUCCGACCCGCACGAAAGGUGUAACGACUUGCGCACUGUCUCAACGAGGGACCCGGUGAAAUUGAAGUACCUGUGAAGAUGCAGGUUACCCGCGACUGGACAGAAAGACCCCAUGGAGCUUUACUGCAACCUAAGAUUGAACUUAGUUAAUGAAUGUACAGGAUAGGUGGGAGACUUAGAACCUAGGACGCCAGUUUUAGGGGAGUCGCUGUUGGGAUACCACCCUUUCAUUAAUUGAUUUCUAACGGGCCGAGUAACGACCGGCCGGACAGUCUUAGGCGGGCAGUUUGACUGGGGCGGUCGCCUCCAAAAGAGUAACGGAGGCGCCCAAAGGUUCCCUCAGAGCGGACGGAAAUCGCUCGAAGAGUGUAAAGGCAGAAGGGAGCUUGACUGCGAGACGGACAGGUCGAGCAGGGACGAAAGUCGGGCUUAGUGAUCCGGUGGUGCCGAGUGGAAGGGCCAUCGCUCAACGGAUAAAAGCUACCCUGGGGAUAACAGGCUAAU
rnacentral:rRNA from 1 species